CUCCAUUAGAACUGAUUAGGUACUGUUCAAGAACAGAUUUCCUACUGUUCAUUACUUUGUACCUCUUUAUAAAUGCUUUAUUCAUUUCACAAACCCUAGAACUCUCUUGAAACUUUUCCCUCCUCUUGCGACUCGUCCUAUGGCCUUGCCCUACUCUGUAGAUUAAGCCAAUGAUAGAUGCUAGAUCUUCAGGGUCUGGGUUUGGAAGAAGAAUAUCACGAAGUUGGAGGAAGAAUACCCCCAUUCAUCAGCAAAGGACCUGGUACAUAGUCCACAUUUUCUUCGGGUCCAAAGAAAGGGCUUCUAAAAAAGGUAUUAUUUUCUUCCAUGUCUUCAUUUUUUCCAAUUUGUUAAAAUUUUCAUUACUUGGUUGAGUUUGGAUUAUCAAUGGCUGCUCCUAUAAUAAGAGAGAUUUUACUUUGCCAAAUGUGAUUCUGUGUAAAAUUAUAUGUUUCGCCUUUUUUAAAUGUGAUUGAAAAAUUUUGUAGUUGAAGGUUUGUGG
rnacentral:lncRNA from 1 species